UACGUAGGUGGCAAGCGUUAUCCGGAAUUAUUGGGCGUAAAGCGCGCGCAGGCGGUUUCUUAAGUCUGAUGUGAAAGCCCGAGGCUCAACCUCGGAACUGCCUUCGAUACUGCGGGUCUCGAGUCCGGGAGAGGUGAGUGGAAUUCCUAGUGUAGAGGUGAAAUUCGUAGAUAUUAGGAAGAACACCAGUGGCGAAGGCGGCUCACUGGCCCGGUACUGACGCUGAGGCGCGAAAGCGUGGGGAGCAAACAGG
rnacentral:rRNA from 1 species